GCCGUCUUAGCUCAAAUGGAAGAGCACAUGGUUCUCAACCAUGUAGUUGUGGGUUCGACUCCUACAGAUGGUG